AGCGAACGCUGGCGGCAGGCCUAACACAUGCAAGUCGAACGAACCCUUCGGGGUUAGUGGCGGACGGGUGAGUAACACGUGGGAACGUGCCUUUAGGUUCGGAAUAACUCAGGGAAACUUGUGCUAAUACCGAAUGUGCCCUUCGGGGGAAAGAUUUAUCGCCUUUAGAGCGGCCCGCGUCUGAUUAGCUAGUUGGUGAGGUAAUGGCUCACCAAGGCUACGAUCAGUAGCUGGUCUGAGAGGAUGACCAGCCACAUUGGGACUGAGACACGGCCCAAACUCCUACGGGAGGCAGCAGUGGGGAAUCUUGCGCAAUGGGCGAAGGCCUGACGCAGCCAUGCCGCGUGGAUGAUGAAGGUCUUGGGAUUGUAAAAUCCUUUCACCGGUGAAGAUAAUGACUGUAGCCGGAGAAGAAGCCCCGGCUAACUUCGUGCCAGCCGCCGCAGUAAUAC
rnacentral:rRNA from 1 species